UGAGCCGAGUGGCACAGGUCAUCACAACUAAUACUUUGUACAUUUUACUGUUACCUUCAAAACAUUCAAGUACAUGUGUGGACCAAGAAGGGAAGGGGAGUAAUUAUUGGAUGACAGAAGACACAAUGGAGGGAAUAAUGGGAGAUAAUUGAGUUGAUGUUCUACAUAUCAAUGAACUGAGUUAAGUCAUUUCCCUAGGCCAAUUCUUUCCUUUGGGGGACAAAAUAGAAGGUUCUAGUAGCCUUUGUAUCUGCCAGGCACUUUUAUGACAAUGCCAAAUAUCAUAGCAAUUUAUCAGAGACAAAACUUAUUCAUUCCUUACUUCGUAGAUUUCUGUAAAAUUUGGUGCAGGUGUAUUUGAUAGUGCGCCGGUAAAAGGGAGCUCUUGUUCGCUUCUGCUUAGGGUUACAAAUGCGAUGCACAACUCUACAAGACAAUUUCAAAUGGGCCCCUAAUGUUAAUAUUGUCCUCAUCACAAUGAAGAAUUUCAAAGCAUUUCAGUUUCCCUAUAGAUAUCUAUGGAACACUAACCAGCACAAUCUUAUGGAAUGGCACUUACAAUGAUGAGCUACCAGGGAAAAGAAAAAAAAAAGCCUCACCAUGUUAUCUGGCUCCCAGAUUUGGUACAAAACUGGGCAUUAGGUUCUAACUGCUGACAGUUUAUCUCUAAACACUGACCAAAACACUCUUGAGCAAAGAAAAUAAACACAAUUAUGUGUCAAGUGUGUGUAACAUUUUAUUUCAGGUUUUUUUCAACAACUUUUCAUUGAGACAUAGUUGACACAAUUAUUGAUCCAGCUGGAGAUCAAUUUGAACAAAAUUUUUUUUUUUUUGAAUAUCCUUAGCUACAAAUUAUGCAAUAGCAGCCUUUGUCUCUAGGGUAAAAAGAAAAUAUCAAAUGUUAUGGGCAUGCUAAGUUUUUAGCAAAAGAACUGAAGCUGCAUCAGUCAACACAAAGAAAAAGAAGCAGCCUUGUCAGCCAGCCCUAGGACAGAUGCAUAAAUAUGCACGAACUGUGGCAAACUCUGCCACUCCAGAAUUGGCUUGAUCAGUCACUCCAGAUUCUGCCCUGUCUUAAGAUCAUACCAAAGUCAGCGAUUAAUCUUUCGAGACAGAAGGAGACAUAUAAUUUAAUAUAUAAAUUUAAAAAAAUAUACAGUGUGGUGUGGGUUUCCCUGGAGCUAAAAAUAAAAUGAAGGCAGUCAACAAAAAGAAAAUGAGAAUAUUUUUGGUUGCAUCAACCUGUCAGUUGACUUGCUCCAUGACAACAGUAGGAAGGUAUCCAUGAAACACUCAGCAGUAAUGCCACAUCAACCCAGUCAAGUUGAGUAAAUGAACAAGUGGAAAAUAAAAAAAAAACAAGGUACCAAUUUAGUGCAUAGUGUUUAUAUUGGGUAGCAAAGUCUCUCUUCAGUGCUUUCCCUUUUCUGAAAGGUAAUGAGAAUCUCUAAAGCCAUUAGGAAUUGAUUCAAUGAUAAUGCUUGCUAUCACUCACUUUUAGAGUAUUAAUAAAAUAUUUCAGCAAAGUUAAUAUUGUUUAUAUUUUAGUAGAUAAAUAAAAUUUAUUGUAGUAGUCUCUUAUGUUCUAUACUGGAGUCAGAUUAUUUUCAGAAAAGUCUACCUCCUGAUUGCACUAUUUUACGGAACAAAAAAAGGUAUAAUAGCUGUAAGCUGAUAUAGUGUUGGAUUUUUGUUACAAAAAAAAAAA
rnacentral:sRNA from 1 species